rnacentral:lncRNA from 1 species
GCCCUGUUACCUCACUUAUGAGAAAUCUUAACUAUAUUCAUUCAGACUGCUUUAAGCUUAUUCCUAAGCUGUUUUUGUUUAUGGACUUUUGGUUAUUUUGUUAUUACUGUGAGAAUAUUUAAGAUAUUGUAAGAAGUAAUUUUAAAUCUGUUGCAUAAUCUUUUUUGGUCUGCUUGGAUACUACUGUAUAUUAAUUUAUUAUGGCCUUUUACAAUUCACUUGUUUUCUGAGAUUGCUCUAGAAACUGAUGAAGAAAGACUCCUACUAACCAAAAUGAAUGGUCAAUUGAUCUGGCAUUUUAUUUCAGGUUUCCUUGUACUUUGGGCAUCCAAAGCCCAAGAUCUGAGGGACAUAGCUUCUCUUUGCUAAUUCAAGACUGUGUACUUAAAAAAGAGAGCACAGAAGAAUGACGAAAGUGACCACGGUAAGGGCAAAGUGGCGUAUCUUUAAAGUU